rnacentral:lncRNA from 1 species
AGGAACAUGCAAUGUAUGUUAUAUUGGGUGUAUGCAAUUAUACAGUAACUCCAAUCAUUUUACAGAAGGUAAAAAACAAUGUUGUUACUUCUGAGGUUGAUUUAAAAUCUUUGAUUUAAUUAAUGAGAAUGAGAUUUUAAUAUCAUGACUGAUAAUGGAUUACUGUAUAUUGCAACGCCUGGACAUACACAUGGUUUGGAUAUACUGAAGACAAAAGGAAUAAUAUAUGGGAAUGGAUAAGGCUGAUUUCCCCCUAUCCACAGCCACGCCUACUCCUAAAGUAACAUCGCGUACAUCCUUACUAUGCCCUUUUACUGUAGAAUUUCCCGAAUCCUAAUGACCCAUUCCACUACAUGGUGUGACUUGUUUAAGCCUAAGAUAAAUUGGCUGAUCAGGCUACCUGUAUUAACAAUGUCAUCAACGAUGAGUUAGCAUCUGUGGAGAAGCAUCACUUCAGGUUGUCCCAAAUUUUCUUUUAACUUAAGUUUUAGUACAUAGUAAGGCCCAUGCCCAACAACUAUAUGCAGCCUUGUAUAGCAGGCCACAUGACAUCUAUUUGUACCAAGCAAGGCCUGCCUGACUCCUCAUUCCUGUCUAACAUUGUUGUCUCCUGCAUAAGUGUAGAUGGCUCUCCUUGGAGUAGCCUGUUAACUAAGCCUUGCUUUGUGGAUACCUUCACCUGUCCAAUUAAUCUGCUAGGUGCAGAUGUCCUUCCCCCACUUGCAGGCCCCUAUCACCUUAUUAUUUAUUUUGUUCCACACAGUGAAACCUGACCAAGAGGCAAGGGUCCUAGCUAGUUCCCCCAAUACCUUUACCUGAAUUAUACAGGCCCCAAAGCCUGUCCAAGCUCUUACUAUUCCCUAACAGGUUAAGGCUCUGGUGUCGAAUGUUGCCCUGGUUACCUGAGACUUUCCAUGCAAUAUCCCACCUCUCCUUGUGAUGGACGAAUUCUGUGCAGGAUAAUGUCACCCUGCAGGGAUGAUACUCUAUUUACCUGGCCACUCUUCUGCCACUUCCCAAGGGGGGAAAUGAUAAGACACUGACUAUUAUUUUUUUUAGCCUUUUUCUUAUGUUCUGUUCCGGAUUUGCUGUCACUACAGUGGACCAAGUAUCUCACCUCAACAAUGUCUGCACAAGAAGCUGAGCUAUAGACUCCCAUCACACCAUGCAAGAUCUCUGAAGGAAGACUGAACUCAGAGGAAGCAUGUGGCAGCUCUCUGGCUGACUAAGUUGUUCAAAAAGUUGUAAGUGCACUAAGGGAAGUGGACAGAAAAGUGUCUGCUGAAGAAACUCCCAUAUUCACCAUGUAAGAUCCUACCCACAGACAUCAAGCUCCCGAAGGAAUAACAAGCAAGCUACUGACCCUGGAAAGAAAGAAAAAACAAACAAACCACAAGCUGGAAACAGAAAGGGGCAACUCUUAAAGACAGGCUGUACUUCAACAAUCUCAAGUUCUACUUGCCCAAGAACAUAUACUCAGCAGUGGUCCAGUGGGCCUACGGAGCAUCUGUCCAGAACCCUCAUGAACUCUUUUGAUCAAUAAAUACUCUGAAGUACCAGGAAUUGCCUCUCUGACCAACAGUUACUGUAAAUCUUGUGCCAUUUGUGCCAAGGGCAACUCAAGAAGAAUGGA